UAAUACGGGGGGAGCGAGCGUUGUUCGGAAUCACUGGGCGUAAAGGGCGCGUAGGCGGCAGAGGAAGUCUGGGGUGAAAGUCCCCGGCUCAACCGGGGGAGGUCCCCAGAAACCACUCAGCUCGAGUGCUGGAGGGGAAAGCGGAAUUCCCGGUGUAGAGGUGAAAUGCGUAGAUAUCGGGAGGAACAUCGGAGGCGAAGGCGGCUUUCUGGACAGACACUGACGCUGAGGCGCGAAAGCCAGGGGAGCAAACGGGAUUAGAUACCCCGGUAGUCCUGGCUGUAAACGAUGGGUACUUGGUGUAGGGGGUAAAUUAAAGUCCCUCUGUGCCGGCGAUAACUCGUUAAGUACCCCGCCUGGGGAAUACGGUCGCAAGGCUG
rnacentral:rRNA from 1 species